rnacentral:rRNA from 1 species
UGGGGAAUUUUGGUCAAUGGGGGAAACCCUGAUCCAGCCAUCCCGCGUGUGCGAUGAAGGCCUUCGGGUUGUUAAGCACUUUUUGCAGGAAAGAAACGUCAUGGGUUAAUACCCCGUGAAACUGACGGUACCUGCAGAAUAAGCACCGGCUAACUACGUGCCAGCAGCCGCGGUAAUACGUAGGGUGCAAGCGUUAAUCGGAAUUACUGGGCGUAAAGCGUGCGCAGGCGGUUCGGAAAGAAAGAUGUGAAAUCCCAGAGCUCAACUUUGGAACUGCAUUUUUAGCUACCGGGCUAGAGUGUGUCAGAGGGAGGUGGAAUUCCGCGUGUAGCAGUGAAAUGCGUAGAUAUGCGGAGGAACACCGAUGGCGAAGGCAGCCUCCUGGGAUAACACUGACGCUCAUGCACGAAAGCGUGGGGAGCAAACAGG